AGAGUUUGAUCAUGGCUCAGAUUGAACGCUGGCGGUAUGCUUAACACAUGCAAGUCGAACGGUAACAGGACUAGCUUGCUAGUCGCUGACGAGUGGCGGACGGGUGAGUAACGCGUAGGGAUCUACCUAGCAAUGGGGGAUAGCCCGGUGAAAACCGGAUUAAUACCGCAUACGUCCUAUGGGAGAAAGGGUGCCUCUUCUUGAAAGCACUCGUUGUUAGAUGAACCUGCGUCGGAUUAGCUAGUUGGUGGGGUAAUGGCUCACCAAGGCGACGAUCCGUAGCUGGUCUGAGAGGAUGACCAGCCACACUGGGACUGAGACACGGCCCAGACUCCUACGGGAGGCAGCAGUGGGGAAUAUUGCGC
rnacentral:rRNA from 1 species